rnacentral:rRNA from 1 species
CCUACGGGGGGCUGUAGUGGGGAAUAUUGGACAAUGGGCGAAAGCCUGAUCCAGCCAUGCCGCGUGUGUGAAGAAGGCCUUCGGGUUGUAAAGCACUUUCAGUGGGGAAGAAAGCCUUGGGGCUAAUACCCUCGAGGAAGGACAUCACCCACAGAAGAAGCACCGGCUAACUCCGUGCCAGCAGCCGCGGUAAUACGGAGGGUGCGAGCGUUAAUCGGAAUUACUGGGCGUAAAGCGCGCGUAGGCGGUCUGAUAAGCCGGUUGUGAAAGCCCCGGGCUCAACCUGGGAACGGCAUCCGGAACUGUCAGGCUAGAGUGCAGGAGAGGAAGGUAGAAUUCCCGGUGUAGCGGUGAAAUGCGUAGAGAUCGGGAGGAAUACCAGUGGCGAAGGCGGCCUUCUGGACUGACACUGACGCUGAGGUGCGAAAGCGUGGGUAGCAAACAGGAUUAGAUACCCGGGUAGUC